AGGCCUGGUCCUGGAGGCUCUUGACUCCAGGCUUCCCUAAGGUUCCUGGAAGGCCUUCAUGUGUUAUUACUGGUUGGACAGAGAAGAGCACUGCCAGCCCCAGAUGGGAGUGAGAAGGCCGGUCGGGGAGAAGCUCAUUUGGCAGAAUGCUGAAGCCUUACUGGUCUGAGGUGUCAGAGGUCAGAGCCUGAGACUGACAGAGGAGCCACAGGUGACCAGCAAACUGCAGAAGCUCUGGGGAGAACUCCAUGGAGUCAGGCUAAAAACAGCAGCAACCAGAAACUGUAAGAACUGAGCAGAGAUACCAGCUGCACCACUAGAGAGACAAAGUGUGUAGCUCACUGCCUAGUACAGCAAAAUAGCCACAAUCCUCAGAAGGACACAACAGAAUCUGGAAUCACUAGAAAGUAUUAUCUACAAUGCUCAUUCUUAACCAUGCAAAGAAGAAACAGGAAAGUGUGAUUCAAAGUCAGAAAAAAGUCAGUCAAUAGAAAUCUACUCUGUUAGGGACAGGUGUUGGUGAAUUAAGUAAUUAGAGACUCUAAAGCAGCUAUGAUAAAUAUGUUCACAGAGGAAAGCUCAAUAGAGAAAUGAAACUUCAAACAU
ensembl:lncRNA novel transcript, antisense to ARMC3and MSRB2